CAGUCGCCGCGGUAAUACAGAGGGUGCGAGCGUUGUCCGGAAUUAUUGGGCGUAAAGAGCUCGUAGGCGGUCUGUCGCGUCUGGUGUGAAAUCCCGAGGCUCAACCUCGGGCUUGCAUCGGGUACGGGCAGACUAGAGUGCGGUAGGGGAGACUGGAAUUCCUGGUGUAGCGGUGGAAUGCGCAGAUAUCAGGAGGAACACCGAUGGCGAAGGCAGGUCUCUGGGCCGCAACUGACGCUGAGGAGCGAAAGCAUGGGGAGCGAACAGGAUUAGAUACCCCCGUAGUCCCUGUCUCUUAUAC
rnacentral:rRNA from 1 species